rnacentral:rRNA from 1 species
CCUACGGGUGGCAGCAGUAGGGAAUCUUUCACAAUGGGCGAAAGCCUGAUGGAGCAACGCCGCGUGGGUGAAGAAGGUCUUCGGAUCGUAAAACCCUGUUGUUAGAGAAGAAAGUGCGUGAGAGUGACUGUUCACGUUUCGACGGUAUCUAACCAGAAAGCCACGGCUAACUACGUGCCAGCAGCCGCGGUAGUACGGAGGUGGCAAGCGUUAUCCGGAGUUAUUGGGCGUAAAGGGAACGCAGGCGGUCUUUUAAGUCUGAUGUGAAAGCCUUCGGCUUAACCGGAGUAGUGCAUUGGAAACUGGGAGACGUGAGUGCAGGAGAGGAGAGUGGAACUCCAGGUGUAGCGGUGAAAUGCGUAGAUAUAUGGAAGAACACCAGUGGCGAAAGCGGCUCUCUGGACUGUAACUGACGCUGAGGUUCGAAAGCGUGGGUAGCAAACAGGAUUAGAUACCCGAGUAGUC